rnacentral:rRNA from 1 species
CCUACGGGAGGCAGCAGUGAGGAAUAUUGGUCAAUGGACGAGAGUCUGAACCAGCCAAGUAGCGUGAAGGAUGACUGCCCUAUGGGUUGUAAACUUCUUUUAUCUGGGAAUAAAAUGUUCCACGUGUGGGCUUUUGUAUGUACCAUAUGAAUAAGGAUCGGCUAACUCCGGGCCAGCAGCCGCGGUAAUACGGAGGAUCCGAGCGUUAUCCGGAUUUAUUGGGUUUAAAGGGAGCGUAGGUGGGUUGUUAAGUCAGUUGUGAAAGUUUGGGGCUCAACCGUAAAAUUGCAGUUGAAACUGGCAGUCUUGAGUACAGUAGAGGUGGGCGGAAUGCGUGGUGUAGCGGUGAAAUGCUUAGAUAUCACGAAGAACUCCGAUUGCGAAGGCAGCUCACUGGACUGCAACUGACACUGAGGCUCGAAAGUGUGGGUAUCAAACAGGAUUAGAUACCCGAGUAGUC